UAAGCGGGCUUCCCCCUUUCUUCCCAGGGAUAUGCCUUAUAUCGCUCGUUAUGUCGUUGGAGUGCUCGUGGUGCUGUUAGGUGAUGAUAGCUAGAUGCUAUUUUUUUCCGUUCUAAAUGUCGGUCGUGUUGCCUUGACAGACUUAUUUUUUCGUUAUGUGGACCUGUGGUUGUCGUGUAUGCUCAUGUCGUGAUGAGCGUUUGGUGUAAGGUUUGACUGUGACUGCUUGGUGUGUUAUUCAGUAGUGUUGCUAGACUGCAAAAUCUCUGUUUCGUGUCCAGUAUUUUUGGGCCAAGUUGCCAAAUAUGCUUCUGUCAUCUUGGGAUCUUGGAAUGCGGUUCAACUGGAGUUCAUAGUGCUUUGGUUGAAUGAUCUUCCAACCUAUGGGCAACGAUCUUCAUUCGAUCUUGGAAUGAACUUGCCUGUAGGCUGACAGUUGGUUCAUGUAGUGCUAUUAUAUACUCCCUCUGUUCCUAAAUAUAAAUCUUUUUAGAGAUUCUAAUGUGGACUAAGCAAAAUGAAUGAAUCUAUACUCUAAAAUAUGUCUAUAUACAUAUGUGUGCAGUCCUCAUUGAAAUCUCUGAAAAGACCUAUAUUCAGUAACGGAGGGAGUACAUAGAUUCUGUUAUAAUUUCUUAAUAUCAUGUUGCCUUAAGGCUUUCUUAAGGUUAUUAAUAGGCUCUGUUUCUUAUACUACGAAGUUCCUGCUAUUUUGGAUUGGCAAAUCUGAUUCACAAUGUAGUUUUGGUCUUCUAGGAAAGUGGCAUCUGUUUUGCUUUAUGCAUUUGGAAAAUCUCUAAACUGCAAGGGCAUUUCAAAAGCAGAACUGGUGCGUGGCAUAGAAGAUCAAACAGAGCCUUCUUAUAAUGUGCUGUGUUUGGUCGAACUUUGGUACUAACACAACUAAGAUCAGAUUACAGGAGAGAAUGAAAAAAAAAAAUGCCAGCUUUGUUUUGUUCAAGUGUGCAUCGGAAACGUAUCCCUUCAUGGCGCUUGGUCGAGGAAGUUGCAUAACUGUUCAAGAACAGGAAAUUUUGUACCACAACCAUGGUGACUCAUGGUGCCAGGAAAACAGCAAAACACACUGAUCCAACACAGGCAAAACUGGAUACCAAAAUCUGGUGUAAUAAAACUGAAGUAAUCUUGGAUUGAAUGGAGAAGUUGGAUAUCCAGUACCACACAAUAUUUCACUCUUCGACGCAAAUGAAACUCAGUACAGAAAUCAGGUGUCAAUGUUUGCAACCUCAAGUUUGGAGCUCGAAGGCAUUGCGGCCAUCCGGGCAAUCAAUAUUUCCCUUAACAGCUUGCAUAGUAAAGCAGAAUGAUCAUAUUGAAGUGAUCUUGCCAGUUUCACCCCCUCAAAAGAAAUUAAGUUCUCAUUUCCAUACAUUGUUAAUGCUAAGUCCACAGAAUUAUUAUAGCUCAUAGAGACACUCUCGGAUCACGCAGACAGUUGUGUGAUACCACAUGAAUAUCUAACAUGAUGACAGUCUCAAGCAUUAGGGCACUACAAAAUCUCGGAAACUCGUAGGAGAGUGGCUUAUCCGAGGAAGUUCAUGAUCACCAGGUGGAGCACCAGAUUGCACAGGACAAAAUCUGCAAAGGCCCUUUCUGGAGGAAGAUCCUGCAGAUAAAUGUUUUGACGUACAACGUUAUGCUGGAAAUCCAAAGAACAAACUAUCGCAGCAGAUAAAACGCUAACAGUGAAUGUAGAGUUACCUUGAAUUCCUUGUUGUCCUUGUUGACUUGAAUACGGAGACACACUGCAAGAACACAGACAGUUUCAUAUCAUGCAGCCAAGGAAGGGUAACCAGGAUCGAGAGGGGGUUAAGAAAUUCUUACCAGCAAGAACUGCACUUCCUAUGCAUGACAGGACACCUGAGAGGAACGAGUUGAAGGGAAAUGACCCAACUACUCCCAUGUAAGCAACCUGGUUUGUCACAUAAGUAGCAAAUGGCUCAGCUUUUUGGUAACUAUGGGUGAACAGAAGACUUAUGGCUUAUAAAGAUAAUGCUAGUCAGCAAACGCACAUACUUAAAGGGAACUUGCACUGAUCCUAAUAAUCUUGCCAGGACACACUAUAUAACACACACCACCUAGAAAACAACGACUAACACUUCAUCUGUCAAUUCAAACAUCACAGGGCAUACAAAUGUUUAGCAAUCCAUGCCAUUUACACCUGCACAAAUUUGGGUGCCAGAUGACAGUACUAGGUACAGCAGAUUUUUGAAUGCUGAUACCCUGCUCCUAUUCAAAAUUGAGAAAUGUGGCAUAAUAGACAAACAUGGCAUUGCCUUUCCAAACCCUCAUGCUAUACUAGAACAAGAUAUUUCAUAAUGUGACAGCACUCUCUGCACUCAUGUAUUAUCGAAAAACGAAGUUGUUCAAGUAAGAUUUAACUUCUCCAUCCUAAAUCACAUAUCCUCAGUAAGAAGUUUAGCAUCGAAAAAUUACCUGAACAAGGGCAGUCGCCAUGGCGAAAACCACAUACAGGUCAAUGAUCUGCAGAAAUGUUAAGAAUAGGAUCAGCAAUCAGAUAGUCUGACUGUGGCCACAGGUUGACAGCAACACGAGAGAGAAUAGCAAUUGCCUUGAGAUUCGUGGGCGUGGCGGCGUAGGCCUUGUUCAGGGACUGGAACAGGAGCUUGGCAUCCCCCGCAUCCUUCGGCAUCCUCGCGAACCAGAGCACUUCAAGCCAACUAACCAGUAUGAAACAGAAAACAAGUCACAAUCAGAUCUUCCAGCACCGUGGCAAGACUAGAUCAAAACCUAGCAGCUGACAUGCACGCAUCGGAAAUUUUGUAUUUUUUGUCUUCAAAAUGACAAUGCACAUGUAAGCGUUACGGAUUUACACCGUUGUUGUGAACCGGAUGGGCAAGAAUCGAAAUGCGUACGGUUACUAUGGACUUGCAUGCCAAUUCAUGGACUCACCGAGCCAUCUAUCGGCAAAACGAAUUCAGAUGACCAAAGAGUUAACUGGCAAUCCGUAUAAUUCAGAUGUGGCUGCAGUUUUAUGUGCAGACUGACAAUAACUAGGAAGAAAAUCAAUUACAGCAAGAAAAACCGAGGGCGUGUUUGUUUGCAAUGCUUUUUACUAUUUUGUGGGGGUGUUUGGUUAAUAAAUUUCUACUUGGGAUUCUGAAGACAGUGGCAUGCAUCAACCAGAGAUCUCAAUCAGCAUUCAGAAUCCAAAAGGGCAUUCGUUACACGGACGGAGGUGGUGGGCGGGCAGAGAGGACAGGAGGGAUGGAUCCGCAGGAGAAGCGUCGCCCACCUCAAUCAGCGAAGGGGCCGGCUGGGCACUGGCUUGCGGCGGCACGAUAGCUGUUCGUGGACGCCGAAGGGGGAGAGAGAGAGAGAGAUCGGGGGCCACUAGCGCCGGCGCAGCUCCGUCUAGACGGAGAAGGAGAUUGCGGAGGAUGUGGGGCUCGGGCUGGGCUGCAAUCCGUCUGCGCAGUGGAGUGCGUUAGCGGGCUGAGCCCACCAAACAUUUUUUAGGGAAUUAGGUAAAAUAAUAAUCCCCUCCUAAGUACCGAUGUUUCGGAGUACAAGCUGAACAAAGUACCUUUGUGGGCGAGAGUCAAGGGGCUGCCGGAUGGACUGAGAGUCAAGGGGCUGCCGGAUGGACUGACAGCCAAGAGAGAGCUCGCGGAGAAAGUUGCUGCCAAGGUUGGAGAACCACCUUUUACGGUCAUUGUCGGGGGUUGGGUGCGACAUAUGCCAAAGGAUGGCUUAUCAUGGUGGGAGCGAGUAGAACGUCGCCGGUGCCUGGAAGCGGGAUGAGGCGUAGACACGUACGCUAGCGGACUUUACCCAGGUUCGGGGCUCUCCGUGGAGAUAACACCUCUAGUCCUGCUCUGCGGGGUCUCCGCAUGGUCACUAAGGCACUAGUGGUACAAUGGUGCUCCUUGAGCUGUUUGCUAGAGGUGGAAGAAGGCAGACACGCUCUUUCCUCCUCUAGGUGUGAAUCUAGUCCUAGCAGGUUCGAACCAUUUGCAUGGGCGCCCUAGGGGUUUAUAUAGGCCUACCCCCAGGGGUACAAUAGUAAUCCGGCCGGGUGUAGGACCCGGUUGUCAGUCUCUUUGGUCGCCGGCUUCUCCGCCGGCUACUGGGGAACGCCGCCUGGUGGGCCCCGCCGACUGGUCUGGUACGGAGCCGACAUGCCCCCCCACCGCUCGCGGGUCUUGUCGGCUGCUGAUCAUUGUAGCCGUGAUGCUAAUGACGUAGGCUUGGUCAGGAGAGCGUGGCCACAGUCCUGCCGCUUGGCGGGCGAUUGCUGUAGCCACUCUGCUUCUCGUCUGGUUAAUGGCGCGUGGGCCCCGAGGAAGGGGCGGGCCGACUGCUGGGGGCCGACCUCCCUCGGGUCCGGCUGGUGGGGCUCUAGCCGUCUUCCAGGCUCUCGUUGAUCGGUAGGGCCCGUCGUCCUUGGGCCGCACUGACAGGCGGUCGUGGGAGCAGGGCUUUGCCUGACAGGUGUGACGUCAGGGGCGGAGUGGCAACAGUGGCGCGCCGGGCGGGGAUCUUCGCCUGUACGGAGCACUGUGGCCUCGCCCGGCCCUGGAUACGGGGAUGAUGGGCUACACUGUAGCCUCACCCUGUCUUGUCUCCUUAAUGGGGGCGCAGACUUUGAGGGCAUCGUGGGCCGACUGCCAGGAAUCGGCCUCUCUGGAGGCCGCCUGCCAGGAGUCGGUCCGUCUCGGAGCCGUCUUCUUAAGCGCGGCCGUCUUCUAGCAGUCGGCCGUUCGGCCAGCCGGUCAUCAGAAGGCGGCGCUUCAUCUUGACGUCUUGAGGGGCGCAGCCGGCCCCGAUGCCUUGAAAGGUUCUGGGGCUCGGGUUAGGCUACCCGUGGCCCAUUACUCCGACAGUAGUCCCCGAAGCUGGUGAGGUGCCGCGGCCGAGGAGCCGAAGAGCCUCAACAGUUUGUUCCUCCGGGUACUCUGAAGGGAGCUUCGUCCGACUCCUGGGAAGCCGGUUGGCAGGAGUCGGGUGCGUCCAGUCGGAGCUUUCUGGAAUUUCGAACGCAUCGGCGGGAACCAGGUGGCGUGCUUGCUAAGCUUCUCGGCCCGCCGCCCGUCGGGAGCGUGCCACGUGGCGCCAGCCAGCUGGGUCGGCCUGCCAGCCCACGCGCGUGAUGGGACGCGACCGUAGGCCGGGCCCGCCACCACCGGGCCUCGGCCUACGAGCGGACCCGCUGCGGCCGAGGCGGGCGGUUGGGUUUCUCUGUGGAGUUACUGCGCGCAGUAACCCACGCGGUAAAGGCGGGAACGUGGGGUCGUGGGCACAAUUAAUCCCACGAUCCCACGCCCACCCCCUCGGCUUCAUAGCCCCUGGCUAUAAGUAGGGAAAGGAGAGGGAGCGGCAAAGCACGCGCCCCCCUCCACCCUUACUCUCCCUUCAUCUUCUUCCUCCUGCCGCAGCGCCCCGAGCCCCACCGAAGCGCCGCCGCAGUUCGUCUCCGUCAACCUCUCGUCCCAUGGCGCGCUCCGGAGCCUGGGACGGCUCCACAGUUCAUGAAGACCACAUCGACUUCCUCCGCCAGACGCGGCGGCUGCCCAGCAAGGACCAUGUGAAGGUUCGCCUCGUGCCGGAGGGGGAGAUCUCGCCGGCGCCGGAGGAGGGCGAGCGGGUAAUCUUCCGCUCGCACUGCCUGCGCGGCCUCGGCCUGCCGGCGAGCGGCUUCUUCCGGGCCUUCCUCGAAUUCUACCACCUCCAGCCGCACCACCCUCACCCCGAACACGGUGGUGCUGCUAUCCGCCUUUGUCACUCUGUGCGAAGGCUUCCUCGGCGUCCUCCCCACUAUCGAGCUUUGGGGGGAGUUUUUCUACACCAAGCUCGGCACCGUCGUCGCGGGCGUGCCGGCUUAAUGCGGCGCCUUCAUAGCGGUGCGGAGGCCGGGCGGCGACAAUCCAUUUCCUCCCAUCUCGCUGAUCGAGUCGGUGAAGAUGUGGCAGCAGUCAUACUUUUACGUGAAGAGCAUCUUCGCGGAGGGCGACUGGGUCAACCUAUCGGCUUACGCUGCCGGCCCGCCAGCCGGGAGGCGGCCCAACUGGCCGUACCGGGCAAAAACACUGUCGCCUUCCAGAGCCGCCGCCAUCGCGUGGCUCCGGACGCUGGUACAGUCGGAGGGCCUGACCGGGCCCGACUUGCUGUCCGCCUUCGUGGCGCGCCGGGUGCUCCCACUCCAGGGCCGCCCUCACAUGAUCUGUCAGAUGAGCGGGCAUCGGGACCCCAGCCGGCUGUGCACCAAGGAGAUGCCUCACGCCGAGGUAGCUCAUAUGGUGAACUACCUUGCGAACUGCAAGCUUACGGAAGAGUGGCGGUUCAGCAACGAGCCGUAUUCUCGCGCCAACAGCCCGCCUAUGGUAAAUUUCCUUUCCUUCUCUCUUUCUCCUUUUGCCGAGUUCCGUUUGUCUAGCCUGACCAACCAGCUCUUCGAACAGAGCUCCCUCCUCCAGCCGGCAGCCGGCGCCGCGGGGCCGGAGCGUCAAUUUCUCCCUGACCGGGCAGAGAGCGACGUGGAUGACCCCGACUUGGGGGCGGCGGCCUUGGAGGAUGACGCCGAGGGAGGAGGCGACGCAGCAGGCGGCUCAGGGCUCGGAGCCGGCCUCGAGGACUGGCCAGACGACGACGCGGGGGAAGUCGUCCCGCGUCGCCAGCCGGGGUCUGAUCAGCCGGGCGCGAGCUCGUCUGACGCGCCGGCAGCCCGAGGCGGCGCGAAAAAGCACAGGGCCGCGUCGAGCCUGUUCGGCAGUCGGCAAGCCCAAGGGCUCGGCCGUGGUGACCAAGCGGGAUGAAGCGGCUGCGAAAGCCAUCCGCUUCCGCAAGGCGGUGAAGGAGCCGCAGCUAGUUUCCGCGUAAGUACUAUCUUCCUCUCGUACUUUCUCCUUCCUUUUCUGGUCUUGUCUGAGUUUCUUUGCUUCGCCUCCCUUGAUCUAGGGCCCCGCUCUCUCUUGAGAAGUCGGCUGCCGCCUCCAUCGUGGGGUCGGCGGAGACUUCCACCACCACCCGGCGGGUCGAUCCGGCCGCCGACCUCCGGGAGGCGACGGAGCGAAACGUGCGGGAGGCGCGCGAGGAGCAGGAGGCCGCCCGCCUGGAGAGGGCGGAGGCGGACAGAGCGGAGGCCGCCGCAUUGAGGAAGCUGGCGGAGGCCGAGGCCGCCACUGCGGCGAAGAAGCAGGCCGAGGAAGCCGCACGCCGUCAGUCGGCGAUGUUUGUCGUCCCCCCUGAACUCUGCGCCGCCACCACCGGAGUUCGUGGCGCAGACCGAGGAAGCCGGCGGCGAGCACCCUAUCAUGGAGAGGGACGGCGGCGACACCGCCAUGCCGGACGUAAUCGUACCCCCGCCGCCACCUUCUGAGGAGGCGCGAGACAAGCAGCCGGUCGACCCGCCGGCGCCACCAGCCGGAAACGAGAUGGUGACAGGCCCGACUCCCGGGGUCUGCACACCCUCACGCCGCCGGCUCGCGAAGGCGGCCUCGACGCCGCGCCCGCUGGAGACCGGCGUUGCAAGCUCCUCGAUCCUGGACACCGAGGCGACCAGCGCCGCGCCCACUGGGUGGGUGCGGGGAGGCGGGACGGGCCCUCUGAACAAGGCGAUCCUGGACGUUCAAGCCAAGCUCCGCGCCGAGGCCGACGCUCUCAAGCACUGCAACAAGGCGUUCCUGGAAUCGCGAGAGGCCAUCCGGGUACGCUUCUUGCUUCUUUGUUUUUAAUUCUUGUGUUGCUCCGUGGGGGCACGCCAGCGCACCCACUGGGUGUAGUCCCCGAGUUUCGGGCCGGCUGCUGAGCAGGCGGAUCUGAACUUUAAUUUGGCAAGCUCCGAGUACUAAUAUCUUUGCUGCAGGAUUACCACAACCUCCGCGCGUCCGCCUUCAACUCCAAGGUCCAGGAGUCGGAUCAACGAGCCGUCGACUUGUCGGAGAGCCGGAGUAAGCCUUUUUCUUUCUCUGCGGGGGCGCGCUGGCGCACCCGCGAGCUGUAGUCCCCGAGAUUCGGGCCGACUGCUGAGCAGUCGGGCCGGAUCUCCCCGGCAACUGUUCUUCUUUUGGUUGACACUUGAUAGCUUCUUUCUCCGCGGGGGCGCGCUGGCGCACCCGCGGGCUGUAGUCCCCGAGAUUCGGGCCGGCUGUUGAGCAGUCGGGCCGGAUCUUCCUGGCAACUUCGUCUUUCUUUGUUGAUGUCCUUUUCCUCUUCUGCAGAGGCCAACACCACCCUGCAGCAGCAGCUGGGCGAGGCCAACACCGCGCUUCGUGCCAAGGAAAUGGAGUGCAGCAAACUGGCCGAAGAGCGUGACCGGCUGGUCACGCAACUGGCGGAGCAGGCGGAGCUUCUCAAGAAAGCCAGAAGGAGGCGGAGGACAAGGAGACCAGCCUCCUCGCCGAGUUCGCGACCGAACGCUCCGCCUGGACUGACAAGGAGGCGAUGCUGACUGCCGGCUUUGGCGCGAUCGAAGACAUAGUUGAUGGUGAGCUUCCCUCUUUUUCCUUCUUUGAGCUGCCGGCUGCUGACCGAGCCGGCCUCUCGCCUCUAACUCUGGCUCUUUGCUUUCUGUUUUGGCAGACUUCUUCCCUGGUCAUUCUGACGCCGCCAAUCAGGCCAUCGAAGCUGAUCGUGAAGGACGGAGGGCGGAAGGUGCGCAGAUUGCUGCCGACGCCCCCGGACCCUUAGCGAGCAGCUCCUGAGCAUCGAGGCCCGUCUUCGGCCGGCUCACCGGAUGCUGCGCCGUCUUCAGCGUGUCGGCGCCCAGGCGAUCGCUGCCCUGUGGCCGGACAUGCCGGCAUUGCGCACUCCCAGUCGGACUGCCGACUGGCUGGAGGUGGCGGCCGGCCGUCUUGAGGCGUGGAAGGGCUCCUCGGCCGGGCCGGAGCGCGCCGGGCCUUGGAGUUCGUCAAGGCGUGGUACCCUGGGCUAGACCUAGCCCAGUUGACCAUGUUUUGACUGGAAGCCCAGGAGGAGCUGGUGGCAGUGGAGGACGACCUUGUCAAGCGAGCGGCGGCAAUCGCCGAGUACACCAACACCAGCAUCUUCGUCCUGGAGCUGGCCGAGAACGGUGUUGAGGCGCCGCCGGAGUGGUUUGGGCUGAACCCGGAGGAUGGCGAGGACUCGGCCGAGGUGAUCGACUCCAGCGACGAGGGAGAAGAUGAAGAGGAGGAGGAAGGUGAAGAGGAGGCACCAGAGGUCGGAGCGGACGGCCAGCCUCAACUCGACCGCGCCUCCAGCAACGAGCCACGCCCGAGCGAGCCGGCUGCUGCUGAGGGCGACCAACUGGAGACCGACCAACCGGCCGCCCAACCAGCCGGCACCACCGACUCCACCAUUUGGCCGACUCCGUCUACUGCUUCCUAGGCUGCCAUUUACCUUUGCUUCUUCCUGCUUAUCGGUCUCAACGAACUUUGUUAUUUUCGCACAAUUCCACCCGCGGGGUGUAUUUCAAACUUAUGUUGAAUGUCGGCCAAGGGCCUUUUGACGUGUAAAUAUUUUAGCCGAGUUCUAUCUUUCCUUGCUUUCUGCUCUUUGGCUUUUUUCCUUUGCCGCCUUCCCUUGGUUGCCGUCUUGCUAGCCGAACAGCCGCUCUGCAGACUGUGGCUGGGUCAAGUACUUAGCCACUUUCGGGAAGGCAAGUACUUAGCCGGCUAGAGUUUUCUGGCAAGUUAAGUAGAAGCCGGCCGACCGGCUGCUCGGCAGCCGGUCGGUGAGGCGAGAAGCCGGCUUGGACUAUGUGUAUGCUUUAGGUCCUUAGCCAUUUUUCAUGCAGACACCCUUUUCGUCUCAGCUCCUGCCGACCGAACAGUCGCUCUGCGAGCUGCGGCCUCUGGCAGGAGAAGGCUAAGGUGCCAACACAUUACUUGUCCGGCUGCAGGAAGCAUUUCAUAGUACAAAGCGGCAAGUCCUCGGGUCGACUGGUCGAACCCGGUGCCGGACGGAUAAAUGAAAUAACUCAAAUGACAGGCAUAAUACUUAUCAUAUAGAUAAAAGAGGGCAGUCCCCGAGCUCUUCUCGGGGGACCUGGAGUCUUCGUACUUAAUACAAAAGUUGGCGUGGUACAUACUGUAUCAACUAUAAAACUUCGAAGGAGGUUUGCAUUCCAUGGUCGCUCUGUCUCCUUGCCAGAGUCGUCUCUUUUGCGUGCUCGAGGCAUCUGAGCGUCGAUGAGGUAGUAGGAGUCGUUGCCGAACACCUUGCUGAUGAUGAAGGGGCCUUCUCAAGGUGCCGAGAGCUUGUGCUGGCCGGCUGUUCGCUGGAUCAGCCGGAGCACGAGGUCUCCUUCUUGGAAGGAUCUUGGCUUGACCUUUUGAUUGUAGUAUCGGCACAGACUCUGCUGGUAGAUGGUGGACCGGCUGAGUGCCAACAGCCGGCCCUCUUCCAGCAGAUCGACGCUGUCUUGUUGUGCUUCUUCUGCCUCCUCUUCGGUGUACAUGGUGACUCGAGGGGAGUCGAAUUCUAUGUCCGUCGGGAUGACGGCUUCGGCACCGUAGACAAGGAAGAAGGGAGUGAAGCCGGUUGACUUGUUCGGGGUUGUGCGCAGACUCCAGAGGACGGCCGGCAGCUCGUCGAGCCAGCAGCCGACCGAACGCUCCAGAGGCUCGACCAGUCGGGGCUUGAUGCCGGACAAGAUGAGGCCGUUUGCACGCUCCACUUGGCCGUUUGACUGCGGGUGGGCAACGGAUGCUAUGUCCAGUCGGAUGCCCUGCGUCGCGCAGAAACGGGCCAAGGCGCCUUUGGCGAAGUUCGUGCCGUUGUCGGUGAUGAUGCUGUGUGGUAUGCCAUACCGGAUGGUGAUGUCGGAGAUGAAAGUCACAGCAGUCGGACCAUUCAAUUUCUUGAUUGAUUUUGCUUCUAUCCACUUGGUGAACUUGUCCACCGCGACAAGCAGAUGAGUCAUGCCACCUCGUGCUAUUUUGAAUGGUCCCACCAUGUCCAGGCCCCAGACAGCAAAGGGCCAGGCAAUGGGGAUAGUCUUGAGUGCAGAAGCCAACUGAUGUGGCUGCGAGCGGAACUUCUGGCACCCUUUGCAUUUCUGGACCAGAUCUUUGGCGUCUUCUAAAGUAGUCGGCCCGAAAAACCCAUGGCGGAAAGCUUUGGCCACGAGUGCUCUUGAAGCCACGUGCUGACCACACUCGCCUUGAUGGAUAUCUUUGAGGAUUGCUUGGCCUUGCUCCGGCUCCACGCAGCGCUGGUAGACGCCAGUGACACUGCGCCUUACAAGCUCUCUGUUGACUAUGGUGUAUGCUGCUGCCCGGCGUUGCACUUGCCGGGCCGAGAUCUCAUCGGUCGGCAGCUCUUUGUUCACCAGGAUGUUGAAGAUGGGCUUGGCCCAUGAAGGUGCUGCGAUUUCUUCGAUUGCUAAGACUGCUACUUGCACGAGGGCGGUUGGGCCGGGAGGCGGCGGGUUGGAGCCGGCUGUCGCUUGCUGGGUUGACGAAGUCCCCGGGCCGACUGCUGCAGUCCCCGGGUCGGGCUUUGAAGUCCCCGGACCGGGUUCGGCUGCUGCAGUUCCCGGGUCGCCUGCCGAAUUCCUCGUGCCGGCUGCUGGGGUCCUCAAGUCGGAUCCGACUGCUUCAGGAGGAGCGGCACAAAGAUGGAAUCCGAUUCUGGCGAUGGCUUGACAGACGGCUUGAGGAGGCGUUGUAGGGCGACGCCGGUUGGUAUUGCUUGCUAGGUGGAACCGAUUCGUGCCAAGGCAUCUGCUUGCUCAUUGUCACUCCUUGGCACAUGGAGAAACUCGCACCCUUCAAAGUAUCCACUGAGUUGCUGCACGAGGAAACGGUAACUCGCCAUAUUUGCAUCCUUGGCAUCCCGGUUGCCUGACGACUGUUGGACCACCAAGUCGGAAUCACCAUAGCACAGGAUCCGGCGAAUGCCGAGUUCCUUGGCAAGCCGAAGCCCAUUAAUGAGUGCUUCGUAUUCCGCGACGUUGUUGGAGGCGGCAAAGUGAAUUUGCAGCACAUAUCUUAGUUUGUCGCCUUUGGGAGAGGUGAGGACGACGCCGGCUCCCAAACCGGUGCGCAUCUUUUAACCAUCAAAAUGCAUUCGCCAAUGGGUGGAGUCUGGCGUAGGCGGCAGGUACUGGGUCUCGGCCCAAUCAACGAGGAAGUCGGCCAGUGCUUGUGACUUGAUGGCGGUGCGAGGCUGGUAGUAGAUGGUGUAGGGGGCCAAAUCUAUGGCCCGUUUGCACUCGGCCUGAAGCAUCUCGGCUUCCGAUGAUCUCGGCAAGCGGAGCUUUGCAGACCACAGUGAUUGGGUGCUCUUGGAAGUAUGGCUUCAGUUUCUUGGCGGCGAAGUGUACGCCGUAGCACAUCUUCUGGUAGUGGGGGUAGUUUUGCUUGGAGGUGGACAACACUUCACUAAGGUAAUACACCGGCCUCUGGACUGGUAGUGCUUUGCCCUAUUCCUUGCAUUCCACCAACAUGACUAUGCUGACCACCCGGCUGGUAGCGGCGAUGUAGAGGAGCAUGGGCUCCUUAGGAGUCGGAGCCGCUAGGACAGACGGAGUGGUCAAGAUCUUCUUGAGCUGGAUAAAAGCUUCAUCCGCCUUGUCGUUCCACUCGAAAAAAGUGGUCUUCUUCAUGAGCUGGUACAGGGAAGAGCCUUCUCGCCCAGCCAGCUGAUGAAACGGCUGAUGGAUGCCAAACAACCGGUGAAUUUUUGCACGUCCAGCAGUCGGGUGGGCACUUCCAUCCUCUCGAUGUCUUUGAUCUUCAUAGGGUUGCACUCUAUGCCGCGCUCUGAGACCAGAAAGCCAAGAAGCUGGCCGGCUGGCACUCCAAAGACGCAUUUCUCUAGGUUGAGCUUGAUUUAAAAUCGGCGCAAGUUCUCGAAGGUCUCCUUGAGGUCUUCUAGCAGCGUUCCACGCUUCUCCGUCUUCACCACUACAUCAUCCACGUAGACGUGGGCGUUUCUGCUGAGUUGCUUGAUGAGACACUUCUGCAUGCAGCGCUGAAAUGUGGCGCCGGCAUUCCUUAGGCCGAACGUCAUGGUCAGGUAACAGAAGGCUCCGAAUGGCGUGAUGAAGGCGGUCUUUAGCCUGUCGGCCGGGUUCAGCUUGAUCUGGUGGUACCCUGAGUACGCAUCCAAAAAACUCAAUAGCUCGCAUCCGGCUGUGGAGUCAAUCACUUGGUCAAUUCUUGGCAAAGCGAACGGGUCUUUGGGGCAUGCUUUGUUGAGGCUGGUGUAAUCAAUACACAUGCGCCACUGUUUGUUCUUCUUCAGCACCAGGACCUGGUUGGCUAGCCACUCUGGAAAGAAUACUUCCAUGAUGAAGCCGGCUGCUAGAAGCCGGGCUAUCUCUUCUCCAACAACUCUUCUCUUCUCCUCCGACAGGCGGCACAGGGGCUGUCGGACUGGUUUGGCGUCUGACCGGACAUGUAGCUUGUGCUCGGAGAAUUCUGUCGAAACACCCGGCAUGUCCUUGGGGGACCUUGCAAAAAUGUCCCGAUUCUCACGGAGGAAAUCGACGAGCUCGCCUUCCUAUUUGCUGUCAAGGUUCGCACCUAUGACAGCGUACUUCUCUCGGGUGCUCCGGGUCCAAGGGUAUCUUCUUUGUCUCUUUGGCCGGCUUGAACGAGCCCUCAGCUUCCGACUCCUUGGGGUUGGGUGACAUUUCCGGCUGCUUGCCUGCCAUCGCCACAACCUGAGCCGCUUCUCAGCCGCGAUCACGAGGGACUCGGCUAACCGGCUGCUCUCUGCUGCGUAGGCGGACGACUUCUUGUAGUCUCCUGCUAUGGUCAGGAUUCCCUUGGAGCUCGGCAUCUUCAUCUUGAGGUAGGCAUAGUGGGGGACCGCCAUGAACUUGGCCAGAGCAGGCCGACCAAGCAGUGCAUGAUAGGGGCUCUCAAGGUCCACCACCUCAAACCAGACUGGCUCUCGGCGGAAAUGAUUUUUGUCCCCGAAGAGAACAUCUAUUUGAGUUUUGCCGAUUGGUGAGCAGGAAAGGCCAGGAACUAUGCCAUGAAAAACAGUCUGGCUGGGCUGAAGAUGUCUCUGCUUGAUCCCCAACUUUUCCAUGGUAUCCUUGUACAGGAUGUUGAUGCUGCUGCCGCCAUCUAUCAGGACUCGGGAGAAACGAGCAGGUCGCCUCUCUGUGGCAAAUGUGGCAUCCAACACCAAGGCAUAAGAGCCGGGAUUUGGCAUCACUUCCGGGUGGUCAGCUCUGCUCCUGCUGAUGGGCUUCUCCGACCAGUGCAUGAACUCGGGGGUCUCCGAUGCUACUGCAUUCACUUUCAGCUGCUGGUGCCGUCUGCUACGCCUGUCGUCGGCUACGCUGGUGAACACGACGUAGGCCCCAUGUUCCUCGGGAUAGUCAUCUUGUAUGGCACCGACUGGCCGGGCUGCCGGCUGCUGAGGAGGAGGAGGCGGCGGGCCGGCUGGCGGAGGAGGCUGGAGUCCGUCGCCCUUGGCGAUCCCGGUGAGCCAGUGGCACUUCCGAGUAGUGUGAUUUGACGGCUUCGCACCUCUAUGGAACUUGCAAGGUGCAUCUAGAGUCUGCUCGUACGAGAAAGCGGGUAGCCAGUUGGGUUUGCCGCCCUUCUGGCGCUUGGGAGGAGGCGAUCCUUCUGGCUACUGAUCUUCAACUGUCGCCACCUGCCGGCUUUAGGAAGCUGGCUAUAUGGCCUUGCGCUUGUUGUCGUUUGGUUGCUGCCUCCGACUGGUGUCACCAGCCGGGGUCCGAGGAGCUUGAGGGGCCACCUUGCCCGACACGUUGACUUGAAUCUGCGCCUUCAUGGAUGAGUCGGCCGUGGCGUACUUGUCUGCUAUGAUUAGCAGUUCGUCGAGGGUCGCCGGCUCGUCGCAGAGAAGCUUGUGCUUGAGGAGGGUGCCCUCUCGGCACCCGGUAGUGAAAUACUCGAUGGCCUGCACCUCGUGCACACCCUCGCACGAAUUGCGCAACUCGGCCCAGUGCGUAAGAUAGUCGCGAGUCGACUCGUUGGGGCCUUGAAUGCAAAAGGAGAGUUGGCGAGGCUUGGGCGGCCGCUUGUACGUGCUGGUGAAGUUACGGACAAAUGCUUCAGUGAAAUCAACCCAGCUAUUGAUGCCGCGGGGCUUCAAACUGUUCAGCCAUGUCCGAGCCGUGCCCUGGAGCAUGAGCGGAACAUACUUCACGACAACGCGCUUGUUGCCGUUCGCGAUGCUGACGGCUGUGGAGUAGUCGACCAGCCAGUCCUCCGUCUUCAUGGAGCCGGUGUACUUGGGAGUAUCUCUCGGGAGCGUGAACCCUUUGGGGAAAGGUUCGUCCCGGAUGCGGGGGCCGAAGCAAGGCGGACCCAUCUCAUCUUCUUCUUCUAGCGCCAGGGAUCGGUUGAGGCGGUCGAUCCGGUGGCGGGCGUCGUUUUCUCCGAUUCCUUCUCGGCGCCCAAGGCGGUCGCCGAGUGACGGGUGAUCAACAGGCGGCGGGGAAACGCGCCUCUCCUUGUGGGGAGGAGGAGGAGGACAGUCGUCUCGUCGCUGUACUGCUCUUGGGCGGCCGUCUUGGUCGCGCUCGAUGGUGAUGCGAGUCUGGCUGCGGCUGGCAGCCGGCUCCUUGUCUCUUCUAUCGCGGACGCCACCAGUCGGCGUCCGGGAUGUCGCGCCUUGGUCUCGUCGAGGAGGCGGAUCGUCGUUUCGCCGGUUGGGCGCUUCGGUCCGGCAGCCGGCAUCUUGCUGCUCAGCAGCCGCGUCAAGGAGCUGCUGAACUCGCUCCGUCAUGUGGCGACGCUCGUUGCCCUUGAGCUUGUCUAAAUCGUCUGCUGCCACCUGGGCAGCUCGUAUGUUCUCCGCAGGCGUGGCAUAGACGGGACGAUCUGUCCCGAACAAGCUGGCGACGGUCGCGCCACGCUGCCGGAUUUGGCCAAUGCGGCUAGGCCCACCGGGAGCUGGCGUGCCACCGACAGCAUGGUCCAUCUCACGCUGGUAGGCCUCCGAAAGGCGUCUCAUGCUGGCCAGCCGGUUGGCACUCUGGACGAGAUGGACGCGGCGUGCCUCCAGCGUCUCGGCGUCAGCGUCUUCCGUGAUGUGCGCAGUCAGGUCUUGUAUCGCCGCCUGCAACGGAUCUUGACCACCUCCGCCUGAGUGCUUGCCGUGGCUAAUGGCGAGCACUUCCGUGACGGUGCUGCCGCAGCUGUCCGCGCGAGGAAGCGGCUCGUCGUAGACCACCACGUUGGAGGGGAACGCGUCGAGCGACGCCGUGUCGGAGUCGACCAACAUCGGGUCGGUGGAGCCAACCGACUCCAAGUCAACAGCAGGCUCGCUGGCGACGUGGAGCUGAUCGAGGAGGCUCACAAGGCGGCUCUCAGGGCCAUCGGUGCCCGCAUCAGAUGCGGGCUCGUCGGAGAGGCGAAUCCCGCCAACAAGAUCGGCGAGGCAGCUCGCCGCGCAGGAGGCCUCCAUGCCGCGUAGCACGUCGGUGCAUAUGCCGUUUGGCGUGCCGGGCUGGCUGCGCUCGCCAGGAAUGAACAAGGUUCCCGUCCAGAGCAGGUCUCCGGGAGACGGUGCACCUCGCCCCACGGUGGGCGCCAAAUGUCGGGGGUUGGGUGCGACAUAUGCCAAAGGAUGGCUUAUCAUGGUGGGAGUGAGUAGAACGUCGCCGGUGCCUGGAAGCGGGAUGAUGCGUAGACACGUACGCUGGCGGACUUUACCCAGGUUUGGGGCUCUCCGUGGAGAUAACACCCCCAGUCCUGCUCUGCGGGGUCCCCGGAUGGUCACUAAGGCACUAGUGGUACAAUGGUGCUCCUUGAGCUGUUUGCUAGAGGUGGAAGAAGGCAGGCACGCUCUUUCCUCCUCUAGGUGUGAGUCUAGUCCUAGCAGGUUCGAACCCUUUGCAUGGGCGCCUUGGGGGGUUUAUAUAGGCCUACCCCCAGGGGUACAAUAGUAAUCCAGCCGGGUGUAGGACCCGGUUGUCCGUCUCUCUGGUCGCCGGCUUCUCCGCCGGCUGCUGGGGCCCGCCGCCUGGUGGGCCCCGCCGACUGGUCUGGUACGGAGCCGACAGGCCGCCCCCGCCGCUCACGGGUCUUGUCGGCUGCUGAUCACUGUAGCCGUGAUGCUAAUGACGCAGGCUUGGUCAGGAGAGCGUGGCCACAGUCCUGCCGCUUGGCGGGCGAUUGCUGUAGCCACUCUGCGUCUCGUCUGGUUAUUGGCGCGUGGGCCCCGAGGAAGGGGCGGACCGACUGCUGGGGGCUGACCUCCCUCGGGUCCGGCUGGUGGGGCUCUAGCCGUCUUCCGGGCUCUCGCUGAUCGGUAGGGCCCGUCGUCCUUGGGCCGCACUGACAGGCGGUCGUGGGAGCAGGGCUUUGCCUGACAGGGGUGAUGUCAGGGGCGGAGUGGCAACGGUGCCGCGCCGGGCGGGGAUCUCCGCCUGUACGGAGCACUGUGGCCUCGCCCGACCCUGGAUACGGGGAUGAUGGGCUACACUGUAGCCUCACCCUGUCUUGUCUCCUUAAUGGGGGCGCAGACUCUGAGGGCACCGUGGGCCGACUGCCAGGAAUCGGCCUCUCUGGAGGCCGCCUGCCAGGAGUUGGUCCGUCUCGGGGCCGUCUUCUUAAGCGCGGCCGUCUUCUAGCAGUCGGCCGUUCGGCCAGCCGGUCACCAGAAGGCGGCGCUUCAUCUUGACGUCUUGAGGGGCGCAGCCAGCCCCGAUGCCUUGAAAGGUUUUGGGGCUCGGGUUAGGCUACCCAUGGCCCAUUACUCCGACAGUCAUUGUCAAUGAAGGCAAGAUCAAUCCAGCAAGUGCUUUGAGAAUCAGGGUUUCUGUGGAUGUGAGUACACCUCUUGUUAGGUUUGCACCGAUAACCCUCAGGGAGAUGAAGAGAUAUCCUGUCUUCUAUGAUAGGCUGCCGGACUUCUGCUAUUUUUGUGGUUUGAUGGGACACACAAUGGAGGAAUGCGGGGACGGAAUCCAUGAUCCUUGUACCUGCGACUGGGGAGAGUGGCUUCUGUGGGGAUCGGAGCAGCCAACAUAUGUGGCAGGAGGAAGGGCGAACAUGGAGGGACGUGGUAGAGGAGGUAGGUAUGGAGGAAGAGGAGGUAGAGGUGGUAAACAAGGGAGGGGAGGCCGUGAAGGAGAAAGAAGAGAGGGGGAGGAGAAUGACUGGCAAUUUACUAAUGUGGACUAUUCCCAACAAGAUACGAGAGCAACCGAUAACAUGAACAUGCGCAAAAGGCUGGUCUCAGCUGAUGGGUCAGUCAAUAUUCGAGGCUAAGUGGUUCCAAACCUAGAAGGAAGGGUUGCUGGAAUAGUUCUAAUGUUGGAAAACAAUGGAGAUGAUACUGCAACGGGGGUAAAUAAUACUCCGGUGAAAGUCCCUAUAGUGAAGAGAAGAAGGCAGGAUGGUGUGUUGCAUGGUGAUGAAAUGGACAUAACUGAUCAGGCGGCCUCCUCCGGGGAGGGCCGCCGAGCCCAAUGAGAACUCUAUGCUGGAACUGUCGCGGGAUUGGCGACCCUACGACGGUCAGAGAGCUCCGCGAUUUAGUGGAGGCAUGUGCGCCGAUGGUGCUUUGCAUUGUGGAGACGCAGUUAGCGAAGUAUAGGGUGGAAGGUUUGGCGGGUAGUUUAGGAUUUACAGGUCGUUUUGGAGUAGAUAGUGCGGGCAGAAGUGGAGGCUUGUGUAUGUUUUGGAAGAAUAAUGUUGAUCUUGAAAUAAAAUCCUACUCACAAUACCAUAUUGAUUCCGUAGUGAAGGAGCCGGGCAAGGACCCAUGGCGUUUGUCAUGUUUCUAUGGUGCAGCUAACAGGAGCUUGAGGUACAAGACGUGGGACACAAUGAAGCUCUUACGAGGAGAGAGUACCCUGCCAUGGCUGUGCAUCGGGGACUUUAAUGAGAUACUCUGACAAGAGGAGCAGAUGGGCCCUAAUGAGAGAGAUAGUGCACAAAUGGAAGGUUUCAAAGAAGCGGUCGAUGUAUGCGAACUAGCUGGUCUCGGAUACAAAGCGUUGGACUAGACCGUUGAGAAGAGAGUGGUGGGAUGCGAAUUUUGCAGAGUUCGGCUUGACCCAGCUUUGGCGAGUGCCAACUGGUCAGCUAUGUUUCCCUUUGCUUCAGUGGAACAUCUCACAACAGCAAAAUCAGAUCACAUCCCAAUUUUACUGUUAAAUGAACUGGAAGCGAACAAUUUGAGGAUUGCACUGAGGAAGCCCUUCCGUUAUGAAUGUUGUUGGGAGACGGAUGAUCGGUUUGGGGCUACGCUGAAACGUGAGUGGGAGCAGAACCAACCAGCUACCAAUAUAACAGAGUUAGCUGCCAAGUUGUCAUCGGUCGGAGCGUCACUUAAACAUUGGAGCCGAGCAAUGUUUGGGUCAGUACGGGAAGAGUUGAGAAAGCUGCGUCAUCAGCUAGCAGUUUUGCGAGCCGACCCGACUCGUGUUGGGCCGGGCGAGGAGGAAAAGAGGGUCAAGGACAAGAUUGUCGAGAUAUCAUACCGAGAGGAGAUAAUGAUGAGACAACGGUCGCGCAUCGACUGGCUGUGUGCAGGUGACAGCAAUACUCAGUAUUUCCAAAAGAAGGCAAGUGCUAGAAGGGCAAGAAACAAUAUCUCUCAGCUUGAGAGGCCGGAUGGGACAGUUACUUCAGACGCUGAAGAGAUGGCAGGAAUGACUAACCAGUUCUAUGAGAAUUUGUACAUGUCUGAAGGCUGUAUUGGGAUGGAGGAGGUUUUGUCCCACAUCCCUGUCAUAGUGGAUGGAAAUAUGAAUGCGAAGCUUAAUGCACCAUACACAAAAGAGGAGGUCAAGGUUGCUCUCUUUCAAAUGUUCCCAACAAAAGCACCGGGUCCCGAUGGUUUUCCUGCACACUUUUUUCAAAGACAUUGGGACCUAUGUGGUGAAGAGGUUACUGGCAUGAUUAUCAGAUUGCUUGAUGGAGAGGACUCGCCGGAGGAUAUCAACCGCAUGUCCAUUGUUCUUAUUCCCAAGAUCGCUAGUCCAUUAGAGGACAGUUUCGGUCUAUAAGUCUUUGCAACGUGAUCUAUAAGAUUGCGUCAAAGGUCUUAGCUAAUAGGUUGAAGAUCAUCCCCCCUGAGGUAAUUUCUGAGGAGCAGUCGGCCUUUGUGCCUGGACGCCUAAUCACGGAUAAUUUUUUGACAGCUUACGAGUGCUUGCAUUAUAUGAAAACGAGGAGAGUAAAGAAUAAUCGUUUCGUUGCCCUGAAUUUAGACAUGAUGAAAGCGUAUGAUCGCUUGGAAUGGCCUUAUCUGAAGGCCGUUAUGUUGAGAGUGAGUAUUAGCCCACGGUUCACAGAGACUAUUAUGAGAUGUGUUUCGUUAGUCACAUUUUCAGUUCUGUUUAACGGUGGCAGUUUGCAUGAUUUCAGGCCAUCAAGGGGCAUGAGGCAAGGGGAUCCUAUCUCCCCGUACUUAUUUUUACUUGAAGCUGAGGGUCUCUCAUGUCUACUAAAACAUCAUGGCGGCGGUAUACGGGGUUUAGCUGUGGCAGAAACAGCCCCGCAAGUUAAUCACUUGCUCUUUGCAGAUGACAGUCUUUUGUUCUUUGAAGCUAACAUGGAGAAUGCAACUCGAGUCCAGAACAUUUUGAGGAUGUAUUGUGAUGCGUCGGGCCAGCGUGUCAACACAGAGAAAUCCUCUAUAUAUUUCAGCAAGGGUGUGCUAGAGGCUACACAGAAUGAGAUAAAGAAUGCAUUGGAUGUUCAAAAAGAAUCCUUAUCAGAGAAAUACUUAGGCCUACCCACGGAUCUAGGGAAGAACAAGGAAGGAAGUUUCAGAUAUUUGAAGGACAUGAUUUGGAAACAUAUUCAAGGAUGGAUGGAGAAAUGUUUAUCAGCAGGGGGGAAAGAAGUCUUGAUCAAAUCGGUUGCACAAUCCAUCCGGACAUAUUCUAUGUCAUGCUUCAAACUUUGCCGCGGCCUAACUGAACAUAUAAACAGCCUUAUUCGAAAGUUUUGGUGGGGGAGUAAGCGAGGCCAAAGAAAACUGGCUUGGGUUUCUUGGAAGACUAUGUGUAAACCAAAGCAUAUGGGAGGCAUUGGAUUCAGGGAUAUAGAGCUCUUCAACCUUGCUUUACUUGCUCGUCAAGUCUGGCGAUUACUUCAAGACCCGGAGUCCUUGAGUGCACGUGUUCUUUGUGCUUGAUACUACCCUCAGAGCAACAUACUGGUUGCAAGCCUUGGCGCUCGGCCUUCCCAGGUUUGGCACUCAUUGAUGGAGGGAAGAGAUGUGCUUGCUUUGGGCCUGAUAAAGAGAAUUGGAUCGGGGGCUGAAACACGCAUUUGGGAAGACAACUGGCUGCCGCGAGAUUUCAAGUUGAGAUCUAUAUGUCCUAUUUCUCCCGCUCCGCCGCAGUUAGUGUCAUAACUCAUUGAUGCAACGUCCAGAUCAUGGAACAAACAAGUGCUGACCGAGAACGUUGUUCAGCCGGAUGUUGAUGUUAUUCUGAACAUUCCUUUAAGCUCUCGUGUACAGCCUGAUUUUUGGGCAUGGCACUACGACCGUCGGGGAAUCUUCACAGUCAAAUCAGCAUAUAGGAUGAUAAGAGGAAUUAAAUACCAAUGAGAGGACUGGCUAGAGCAUAGGCCGAGCCACUCGAACACUGAAGCUAAAAGCAGAUCAUGGUCUCAAUUGUGGAAAGUUAAAGUUCCAUCAAAGGUCAAGGUUUUUGUUUGGAGAUUAGCAGAAAUGUCCUGGAUCUGUCCACCAUGAACGCAAGAUGGCCACAUCCCCUGACUGUGGUUUAUGCAAGGAGGAAUAUGACUCAUGGCGGCAUUCCUUGUUUGAGUGCAGGAUGGCACGGUGCGUGUGGGCGCUAGGUGAUGAGGAAACACUGGAACAUCUGAUUUCCAACAGAAGUGAUGAUGCAAGGCUAUGGCUAUUCUGGCUGUUUGAAUCAUUGAAUCAGCAAGAUCUCGCUAGAGUUCUAAUCACCAUGUGGGCAAUAUGGUGGGCACGGAGAAGGGCGAUCCUUGAUAAUGAAUUCCAGAGCCCAUUAUCUACCAUGUGCUUCGUUAACAGGUACUUGCAGGACCUUGAAAUAGCAUCGAAGCAUAAUUCCAUAUUGCAUACCAGCGAGGCAAAGCCAAGAGGCCGGAAGUGGAUUCCACCUGGUGAAGAUGCGGCGAAGAUGAAUGUGGAUGGCCCUAUCUCCAGGUCAGGGAAGACGGGAGCAUGCGCGGUUAUAUGCAGGGACAAAGAAGGAAGCUACAUUGGCGCAUCCGCGGUGGUGUUUGAAGGUUUAGUGGACGCUGCAAGUCUGGAGGCCCAAGCAUGCAAUGAGGCACUAGCACUUGCUCAAGAUCUUCUUCUAUCACAUGUGAUCAUAGCGUCGGACUGCCUGCAAGUCGUCUCAGUCAUCAAUGGUGCUGCGCAAUCAUCUUCUUAUGCCUGUGUAAUUGAAGAGAUUAAAGUUAGAACUUUAGAUUUUGUUAAAGUUAGUUUUCGGUUUGAAAAUAGGGAGGCGAACUGUGAGGCUCAUGCCUUGGCAAAAGCAGCCUCGACACUCCCUAUUGGUCGACAUGUGUGGCUAGGGAACACACCAGACAUCAUUUGUAUCCCGUCAGUUUUGAUCGUUGAAUAAAACCCUAGUUACACCUAAAAAAAGGUAAAAUAAUAAUAAUUUAUCUAUAUAUUUCUUUUUUCUCAAAAAAUAUCUAUAUAUUUCUUGAAAAGGCUUCCCUAAAAGAUCUAGGACAACGCUAACGCCCACACGUGUGGUGGGAGCGAAACCCGCCCACACGUCCUAUAACACACAGACUGCGCCACGUAACCGCAUGCAUGCAUGUGAAGAUCUUUUUGGAUUUUUAGUUUUUAAAAUGUUUUAUCUCUUAAAUGAAAAAUCCGAUUGAAGAUCCGUUUUCACCAUUAAAUUCCUCACGACGAGAUCUUCAAAACUAGAUCUCAAAUCAAUAUAUUUCGACGAAUUUUUUUUGGGGUUAAAAGUUGCCAUGUCUAUUGCACAUGAAUUGCCAUGGUGUUUACACUAAAGUUGCCAUGAUAUGUUUAAGCUAUUUUCUUCUACAUUUAAAAGUAAAUUUUGACAUUUAUAAAAUGGGGACUUAAGAAACUAGACUUGUCAUGAACCAUAAACUAAAAUUGCCAUGAUACAUGCACUUAAAAUUGCCAUGGUUCAUACAAAAAAUAAUUUUCAUGGUCAAAGUACUGAAGCUGCCAUCAUUAAAAUAGUAAAAUUGACAUGCUCUACAAACUGAAGUUGCCACAUGGCAACUUUAGUUUAAGCACUAUGGCAACUACAGUGUAAACAUCAUGGAACUUUUAGGAAUUAUUUUUUUUGUCGAAACAUAUCAACAUUGGGUCUUAUUUUGAAGAUCUCGUCGAGUCGGAUUUAAUGGUCAAAACGGAUUUUUAAUUUGAUUUUUUAAUUAGGAGAUAAAAAAUUUUGAAGCCGAAAAACAAAAAAGAUUCCUGCUGAUGUCAUUUAUUCACAUGUGGCAAAAUGAGUGGUAAAGGAGGCGUGUGGGCGAUGCGCAUGAUGCCACACGUGUGGGCGUUAGUUUUUUCCAAGAUCUAAAAAAGGGUAAAAACAUGUAAUGUCAUUCAAAAAGAAAGGCACAUUUUGCAAGCUCUUUAUGUUUCUCAGAUAAUAAUUCCAUGACAAAAGAAUGCUCGCCAAACACAACACAAUGUACCACUAACUCUUGCGCAAAAGAAUGGAAUGAAUGUCGAAUCCACACACACGAAUGACACAGAUCUCAGCUCAGCUUCCAAAGAAUUCCCCCCGAAUCAGCAUUUCCUUAGCACUUCUUGGCGAGGGCGCUCUUGGCCUUGUGCCAGAAGAGCACCCGCUUCCUCCCGCGGGUCGUGUUCUCCACCGUGAUCACCACCUUGACGGCCUCCGCCGCGCGGAACAAGUUGCGCACCGCCUCCUCGCCGGCGCCCACCUUCCGGCCCUUGCUCACCACGAUGGUGUACGCGCCCUCGUCGGCGGGCAGGAACUCCUUCGUGUACCUCGCAUCCCACCCUGGCACCGCCAGGUCCCACAUCAGCAUCGUGUCACCCUGAAUCGUUUGUGUCACACAACCAAAUUCAGUCAGCCAGUCACCUAUGUUCUUAGUCACCAAACAAUUUCAAUGCAUCUUAUUUUCAACAAAGUCUAAGUAAAGGCUUCACAUACUUAAUUAUCAUAUAAUCUUCUAUGAUUGCUAAUACUCAAAGCAUAUUUUUAGAACAAAUAGCAUCCAUCGAACACAGAGAAAGAUAUGGCUUUAAUGUUUCGCCUCCCAACUUAUUUAUCAUAGUGAUAAUUGUCAACAAUAAUAAAUCAUGAUCAAAUAUAUUUGAAUGGCCAUAUAUGCGUGGAUCUUUCCCCACCACAUGAUGCUUGCUAACUAAAGAAUAUGUUGGAAUAAGAAGAAAUACUAUUCACUCUUGCAUGAAAGUAAAAACUAAAAAGUAAAAGAUAGGCCCUUCGUGGAGGGAAGUAUGGAUUUGCAGAGGUGCCAAAGCUCGAUGCUUAAAACAGAGAUGAAUACAUUUUGAGAGGCAUGCAUUUCCUGUCAAUGUCACGACCAAGAGUUCUCGAUAUCUGCCAUGCUAAACACAUUAUAAGCGGUCCCAAGUGGAAAGGUAAAGUUUACUCCCUCUCAACCAUUCAAACACAAGCCAUGGCUAGUCGAAUCAUCGGGUGCCCUCCAUACAAUCAACUUUCCGGGGGACUUUGUUUCAUUAUUUUGCGUUUUGAUCAUGAGACUAGGCAUCCCAAUUACCAGCCUCUCUCGUGCAAUGAAAAGUGAAUAAACACCCAUCAUGAGAAUAACCCGCUUAGCAUGGAAGAUACUGACCACCCCCUGCCGCUCCAUGAGCGGUACGAGCAGACAAAACAAAUGCUUAUUUGAUUGAUUGGAGGUGGCACAUGCAAAUUUACUUGGAACGGCAGAGUAAUACCGUAUAUAGGUAGGUAUGGUGGACACUCAUGGAAGAAACUUUGCUCAAGGAUUUUGGAUGCACAAGCAGUAUUCCCGCUUAGUAUAAAUUUUUUGGCUAGCAAAAGAUUCUAAACAAGCACCACAUGUUGGAGGAUCCGUAACAAUAUAACUUCUAUACAAAUAUACUCAACCAUAACUCAUUAUGUUGUCUUCCUUGUCCAACUUUAACUAAUUUUCUCAAGUGAAAAUAAUUAAUGGGUGUUCGCAAUCAUUAAAGAUGUCCAAGAUAAUAUAUUUGUAUGUGAAAGUUCUCUUUCAUAUACUAUCUUUCAUGAAUUGUUUGUAUGACCAAUAUUGUGAUUGUCAAACUUCAAUAGAUUUUACUUUCUAAACCAAAUGUGAAAUAUUUCAAAGCAUGGUACACGCGUAUGAAGCACAUAUAAUUUCAACUUUAUGAUAUUCAAUUCAUUCAAAAAUUUACUCAUAGGAUAUAAGUGAAGCACAAGAGUAAAUGACAAACUACUCAAAAGGAUAUAUGUAAAGCACAAAGAGUAGUUAAAUAAUUGAGUAUCUAUGUGAGGACUCUCUCAUUUAAAAAUUCUAGAUCUUAUGUAGUUUAUUCAAAUAACAAAAAAAACA
rnacentral:lncRNA from 1 species